AACGAACGCUGGCGGCAUGCCUAACACAUGCAAGUCGAACGAGAUCUUCGGGUCUAGUGGCGCACGGGUGCGUAACGCGUGGGAAUCUGCCCUUUGGUUCGGAAUAACAGUUGGAAACGACUGCUAAUACCGGAUGAUGACGAAAGUCCAAAGAUUUAUCGCCAGAGGAUGAGCCCGCGUAGGAUUAGCUAGUUGGUGUGGUAAAGGCGCACCAAGGCGACGAUCCUUAGCUGGUCUGAGAGGAUGAUCAGCCACACUGGGACUGAGACACGGACCAUACUCCUACGGGGGGCAGCAGUGGGGAAUAUUGGACAAUGGGCGAAAGCCUGAUCCAGCAAUGCCGCGUGAGUGAUGAAGACCUUAGGAUUGUAAAGCUCUUUUACCCGGGAUGAUAAUGACAGUGCCGGGAGAAUAAGCCCCGGCUAACUCCGUGCCAGCAGCCGCCGUAA
rnacentral:rRNA from 1 species